rnacentral:rRNA from 1 species
UACGGGGGGGGGCAAGCGUUGUUCGGAAUUACUGGGCGUAAAGGGCUCGUAGGCGGCCAACUAAGUCAGACGUGAAAUCCCUCGGCUUAACCGGGGAACUGCAUCUGAUACUGGAUGGCUUGAGUUCGGGAGAGGGAUGUGGAAUUCCAGGUGUAGCGGUGAAAUGCGUAGAUAUCUGGAGGAACACCGGUGGCGAAGGCGGCAUCCUGGACCGACACUGACGCUGAGGAGCGAAAGCCAGGGGAGCAAACGGG